rnacentral:rRNA from 1 species
GAUGAACGCUGGCGGCGUGCCUAAUACAUGCAAGAAGAACGCUGAAGGAGGAGCUUGCUCUUCUGGAUGAGUUGCGAACGGGUGAGUAACGCGUAGGUAACCUGCCUGGUAGCGGGGGAUAACUAUUGGAAACGAUAGCUAAUACCGCAUGACAACAGUUAUUGCAUGAUAACUGUUUAAAAGGGGCAACUGCUCCACUACCAGAUGGACCUGCGUUGUAUUAGCUAGUUGGUGAGGUAACGGCUCACCAAGGCGACGAUACAUAGCCGACCUGAGAGGGUGAUCGGCCACACUGGGACUGAGACACGGCCCAGACUCCUACGGGAGGCAGCAGUAGGGAAUCUUCGGCAAUGGACGGAAGUCUGACCGAGCAACGCCGCGUGAGUGAAGAAGGUUUUCGGAUCGUAAAGCUCGGUUGUAAGAGAAGAACGAGUGUGAGAGUGGAAAGUUCACACUGUGACGGUAUCUUACCAGAAAGGGACGGCUAACUACGUG